UAAAAUAAUGAUGGCUUCCUAGGUAAGUGUCGGUUCUUUCGGACUGACCUUUCCUUAGGAAGUCUCUAUACCUCUGUGCACUGUAAUAGUAUCGGGUCGAGGUAACGCAGCUUUUCGGAGCUGCGAAGCUUAGGCCCACAAACGGUUUCGACCGUAUAAACAACUCUUAAUUUUGACUGACUUUUGUUUCUAACGAAUCAAAAA
rnacentral:misc_RNA from 1 species